rnacentral:lncRNA from 1 species
AUGCCACCAAUCUCAGGGGUUCUGCCCUGGCCUGCGGCCCUGGAUCGUCCAGCCUCUGCUGGGAUGGGGAGCAGACGACGCACUUCUUGGCUGCAGCUGAGGGUGGGGGUCCCGAUUCCCCAAAGGCCUACCCCUGGAUUCCAGCCACAGGUCCUGCUGGGCAGCACCUGGCGCCGCCCCGCCCCUCCAGGCCUGGCACUCUCCUCAACAAACAUGGCGCCUACGGCCUCACGCGCCUCACGGGGCAGGCGCGUCACGCGACAGGCCAGCAGCCCACCCCCCCCACCUUCCCCCGGCCCCGCUCUCAUCCCCCUCAGACUGGCUGACUACACAGGGAGCCGGAAGUUUGACCUGGCUGGUGUCGGUGUCUUUGGCCGCCCUCGGGCGGCUGUUGUGUGGCUGCCCGCAGGCGCUGCUGGGCGGGAUGCUGUACACCCGGGAGAGCGCGUCGCGGGAGCGCAAGGAGCUCCACGGCCUCUGAAGCUUCCAAGCCGACUUCUCCGACAACCUACGCCUGGGCUUCCAGGAGCAGAGGUACCGGCGACCGUUGCGAGAGGCGUCCGGAGCCCGGCGUUGGGAAUGGCAUACAGGGUCUCACUACCUUAUCCAGGCUGAUCUCAAACUCCUGACCUCAAGCCAAGCUCCUUGGUUGACUUCCCAAAGCGCUGAUUACAGGUAGGAGCCAGCAGACACUCCUCAGGCCUGAGGGGCAGGCCCUGCCCAGAGCUGGGCCCAGGGAUCGGGAGGAGGGCACAGUUUAAACGUUCUGAGGUCAGCUCUGCCGAGGGGGGAAGGUACCUUGGUUUUCAGGGUUCAGAUAGAGGACAGACAGUGACAUCAGGCCAAGGACGCCACCACUGUUGCCCUCCUGACUUGGAUGUGGUCAGCAGAGAAGUGGGAUCCGGUGAGAUCUGGGCCGCGUUUGCCUGUUCUACAGCCUCUUUUUCUUUUUCUUUGUUUUUGAGACAGAGUCUUGCUGCGUCACCCAGGCUGCAGUGCGAUGGCACGAUCUUGGCUCACUGCAG